rnacentral:snoRNA from 12 species
AUCCUCCUAAUGCUUACCACAGACAGUACAAUCUAGAGUGCUGUCUGUAUAGAAACAGGAGGGACAUUAACCUCUCCUGACAGUUUUGCUCUGCCAGCUGUUGUCUGGUGAGGCAGUGCUGUUGAGUGACACAU